CACUAUGCCUAGCCAUAAACCUUGAUAGUAACCUACCCCUACUAUCCGCCCGGGAACUACGAGCAUCAGCUUAAAACCCAAAGGACUUGGCGGUGCUUUAGACCCACCUAGAGGAGCCUGUUCUAGAACCGAUUACCCCCGUUCAACCUCACCUUUCCUUGUCCCUCCCGCCUAUAUACCACCGUCGUCAGCUUACCCUGUGAAGGACUCAUAGUAAGCAAGAUUGGCAUAGCCCAAAACGUCAGGUCGAGGUGUAGCGUAUGGAAAGGGAAGAAAUGGGCUACAUUCCCUAACACAGUGAACUACGAACGAUACGCUGAAACACGUAUCUGAAGGAGGAUUUAGCAGUAAGCAGAAAAUAGAGCGUUCCGCUGAAACCGGCCCUGAAGCGCGCACACACCGCCCGUCACUCUCCCCGAGCCCAUCAACAUCAAAUACUUAAAACCUUUAAACUGCAAAGGGGAGG
rnacentral:rRNA from 1 species